AUCUGUACAAGAUGAUUAGUGAUUAGCUGCAAUUCUAGAUGCUAACCCUGUGUUGCUGCUGCAUCCUAAGAACCAUUGGUUCCUAUACACGUUCAGAUGGGUUCCACGCCCAGCUGUGCGCAAGAGCAAGAAUAGGACCAACAACUGAUACUAUGAAUUUCUGUAGGCAGACCAAUAGGAAGGGGAAGAAUAGUUUUUUUUUUUUGUUUCUUAGGAUGCUAGUGCUUUUCAUGUUUGAUUGUUUUGGUUGCACAUGUAUACUGCAACCCCUAGUAUCAAAAUCAAAUCUAUCUGUACCGACAUAAUUUGCAUGUAUUUUUUCCAGUCAGAUUGGUCCUAUUAUGCUGAUGUUCACCAAUACUCCUCCAGAUUAAAUAAAUUUCACUCUGCUAUAAAUCUUGAAUAGUUCAUUGUGCCAUUUUAUUCUUUUUCUGAUGCUGGUGUGAGUUAUUUUGUUGCUGCUAAGCCUGGUUCUGUUUCUCCUGCAGGUGUUCAUCUUUGGCUAGGGAUUUACCUCUCUGGUCGCAUGGUUGCUACUUCCCUGCCGCUAGGGUCUACCUGUCUGCGGAUGCGGCUUUGCGCUGGAUGCCGCACCAGUGAAAGAGCAAGACCUUGUCUCGCACGGUGCCACCGGGAAGGUUGCCUCCCGGACCACAAGGGAGCUCAUCAAGCUCGGGUUCCGAGUCCGUGCUGCCGUGUGGAGCAACGAGAGGGCUUCUUUGUGUGUGGAGCGGCUGGAGCUGGGCGAACAAGCAGCACCGCUGGUCCAAGGCAGGGAGGGUGGCAUGCUGUUUCUGAAUGAUGGAGAUCAGCACCUGCAGCCAGAAGAGGCCGACCUGUGUGCCAAGAGGAGUGUGCUGAAGCUUAGGUGUGGUUGCGCUUUCCGGCCUCGUGUGGCUCCGUGGCUGACUGGACAUGCGAUUCUAGUCUGCAGGCUCCGCCGUAAAGAUGUUUUUGUAGUAAUAAUCAUGAUGUUUGGAGUCUCCACAUAUUCUUUAUGUAAUCGUAAGCUUGCAUUUGUUUCUAGUUGAAGGUGGUGUGGUGUUGUUGAAUGGUAUGCAUAUUAGUAAACUGUCUGUAGAGCUAUCCCUUCAUAGAUCGCUGUGUGAUGUAAAUGUUGGGAAAAGUAGCACCUUUUCUUCUGUCAAAAAAUAAGUGUUCUUGAUA